UAUGUACUCCCUCCAUCCCAAAAUUCUUGUGUUAGUUUUGUCUAGACAUGAGUGUAUCUAAAUAUCAAAGUGUGACUAGAUACAUUCAUAUCUAAACAAAUCUAAGACAAGAAUUUAAGACGAAGGGAGUACUAC
rfam:Hordeum vulgare subsp. vulgare, WGS project CAJW01000000 data, contig: morex_contig_135902